GUGGGGAAUAUUGGACAAUGGGCGCAAGCCUGAUCCAGCCAUGCCGCGUGAGUGAUGAAGGCCUUAGGGUUGUAAAGCUCUUUCACCGAUGAAGAUAAUGACGGUAGUCGGAGAAGAAGCCCCGGCUAACUUCGUGCCAGCAGCCGCGGUAAUACGAAGGGGGCUAGCGUUGUUCGGAUUUACUGGGCGUAAAGCGCACGUAGGCGGUUUGUUAAGUCAGGGGUGAAAUCCCGGAGCUCAACUCCGGAACUGCCUUUGAUACUGGCAAGCUAGAGUCCGGAAGAGGUAAGUGGAACUCCUAGUGUAGAGGUGGAAUUCGUAGAUAUUAGGAAGAACACCAGUGGCGAAGGCGGCUUACUGGUCCGGAACUGACGCUGAGGUGCGAAAGCGUGGGGAGCAAACAGGAUUAGAUACCCAGGUAGUCC
rnacentral:rRNA from 1 species